rnacentral:misc_RNA from 1 species
CGCACCUUGCACUCCUUGGUAUUCCGAGGAGUAUGCCUGUUCGAGUGUCAUGAAGUUAUCAACUCGUAAAUUUUUAUUGAUUUACGCAGUUGGAUGUGGAGCUUGUUGGUUGUUAAUCAACUGCUCUGAAAUGUAUUAGCCGUCUUGUUACUUGAUGUGACUGCAUCAGUGUAGUAAUUUAUUAUGCACUGGCGACCUCAUCUAAUUACAAGUGUUGCUCAUAAAGACCCAAUUUCAUUCAUUUUGGCCUCGAAUCAGGUAGGACUACCCGCUGAACUUAA